UCUUUUGAAUGAUGAGCUUAUAGUUCAGAUGAAAGAACUUUGAUUAUACACAUUUUUGUCUUUCGCUCCUAUCUGAUUUGAUAA